UAGACAAGAUGGCUAAAUUACUAUAGUGCCCGUUGUCAACUUUUUCCCACUUUGUUUACCUCGAUCACUCACUCUCUCUCUCUCUCUGGGCUCAUCCGAUCCCAAACCCCAGAGCAUACAAUUUCCACCGGAAAACAAAAAACACAAAAAUCUCAUCUGAGUUUCCUCAGAAGAACCUCAAACUCCGAUUUGGGUAGUGAAAUCUACCCAAUUCCUUAUCUGGGUUCUUCUAAUUUCUUCACAAAAGCCUUAUAUUUGAUUUGGGUAUCAAAUUCUCCCUCAUUUCUCAUCUGAGCUCUACUCAAUUCUUGUGAUUUCGAGCUAGUAGAGGAUCCCAACUCGUCCACCCACGAAACCGACUGCUGAGGACUCCGUUUCGUCUUCUCUCCGGGCCAGGACUUUGGAAUCCUAACUCUCCGGCGAGGGUUCGAGCCUUCGGAUCUCGCCUCGCCAAUCUGGAUCACCAUGCUAAUUCCUUGCACUCCCCUUCUAUCUCUGAUCUCUCAAGUCUCAACUUUAUUAUCAAUGUCGGCUAAGCACUAAGACCCAAUUUCAGCACCGCAACCUCAACGGUCGGUAAUAACAUCUGAUAAGGUGGUCUACAGGGUUUUUGAUCACUGAUGAGGUGGUCUACAAGGUAUUUGAGCACUAUAUAAAGCAACAGGGAAGAAGACCCAAAAUCACAAACUUAGCUUCAAAGUUUCAAGCUUUUCUUAUCUCUUUCUCAGUUUCAGUGACCCUCAGAGAUUCUAAAGCAAACCCAGAAACAAAAACUAGAUGGAAGGUGUAAGCAGUGUUAUGAUCAACGAUAGGAACUUGUCUCACGAUUUUUGACCGUCUGAUCCCUACGAGGGGUUCGGUGAAGAUGGCCAUAGUGGGGAUUCUGCUUCUUUGUUCUUUUAUGUUCUCUUACCGUCAUGGUGGUGGUGAUGCUCAUAAGUUCUCUUAGGCUUAUAGAAACCAAGAUGUAGCAAAUCAAUAAGGUUGAGCGAUUCAUUUGGUGCAUCACUCAAUUUCAGUUUAUCUUUGGAACUGUGUAAUGCUUGCUAUACUGUUGGGAUGAGGAUCAGAUCUCGGCAGUCGUUGAUUUUUACUUCUUUUAAUGUUUGUGUGUUUGUUAAUAUUGAAGAUAUGUAAAUUGUCCA